GAUGAACGCUGGCGGCGUGCUUAACACAUGCAAGUCGAACGGAAAGGCCCAAGCUUGCUUGGGUACUCGAGUGGCGAACGGGUGAGUAACACGUGGGUGAUCUGCCCUGCACUUCGGGAUAAGCCUGGGAAACUGGGUCUAAUACCGGAUAGGACGAUGGUUUGGAUGCCAUUGUGGAAAGUUUUUUCGGUGUGGGAUGAGCUCGCGGCCUAUCAGCUUGUUGGUGGGGUAAUGGCCUACCAAGGCGUCGACGGGUAGCCGGCCUGAGAGGGUGUACGGCCACAUUGGGACUGAGAUACGGCCCAGACUCCUACGGGAGGCAGCAGUGGGGAAUAUUGCACAAUGGGCGCAAGCCUGAUGCAGCGACGCCGCGUGGGGGAUGUCGGCCUUCGGGUUGUAAACUCCUUUCGCUAGGGACGAAGCGUUUUUGUGACGGUACCUGGAGAAGAAGCACCGGCUAACUACGUG
rnacentral:rRNA from 1 species